rnacentral:misc_RNA from 1 species
GGAGGGAGAGAGAGAGAGAAAGGGAGCCAGCCUUGGGUCAUCAUAAAUAAAUAAUAAAAAUUAAAAAAAUCCUUCAAUUUUAGAAUAGAAUAUACCAUCAUUUGUCACAGCCAUCCAAACCUAAAAAUUCUGUUCCUAUCUCUAUCUCAAAACCAAAAACCGAAAAAAGUUGAGCAGUUUCUUCAUAGCCCUGAUGAAGAAACCCGUUUCAGAUUUCCUUAAUUAUAUCUGUAUCUAUAUAUUUUUUCUGUUUUAUAGCAUGGAGUGAAGAGUGAUCGCUGAGAUUUAUUUUUAUUUUUUUGUUUUUCUUGUGAAUUUUGGGGCCAGAUCUAAGUGGGUUCUUGGAAAUUCAGAUUUUUGUUCUUGGGUUGCAAUUGGAUUGGCUGGAACUUGGAAGCAUAAGCAUCUCCAUCUCUCUGUCUCCAAUACCGGUUGGUACCCAUAUCGUCAGAUUCUAAAUUCUGUUUCAUUGAUUACUUUUGUGUACGGUCUCCAAAUCGUGCCAGAUCUGAUGAUGUGAUCUUACACUACACUUCUAGAAAUCUGCAAGUUCUAUUGCUUCUAAGAUAUAUAGUUUUAUAUACCCACAAAAACAUACAAGUUCUUUGUUGAUUUCUGAAGAAGAUAAAAGCAAGUUUUUCUGAUAUUACGGAAUGGAUAUAGAUGAUUUUCGUUCCAUUCUGGAGAGUUCAGGCGUUGACGUCUGGACUUUUAUAGACACGGCCAUUCUGGUGGCUUCUUUGGAUUUCGGUACAGAAUUGAAGCAGCGGAGAGAUAAGAUUGUGGAAAUGCUAUACACAUCUUGCUCGUCUGGUCGGUGUAGGAAUUGCGAUUUUGAUGUGGGCAGGAUUAGUAAUGAGCAUGAAAUGAAAGAAAAUAGCCAUGAAGUAAAAGUAGGAGGAGGAGGUGGAAGUGGGUCUCCUUCAACAACGCCAAGGUCUAUUCAUGGGGACGAAGAAGAAGAUGACGAUGAAUUGGAUCCAUACGCAGGAUUGUUUGAUGAUGAGCAGAAGAAGAUUUUGGAGAUCAAACAACAUCUUGAAGAUCCUGACCAGUCUGAAGAUUCUCUGGUUGAUUUGCUUCAAAGUUUAGCAGAUAUGGAUAUAACCUUCAAGGCACUCAAGGAGACUGAUAUUGGAAGACAUGUCAAUCGUUUGCGAAAGCAUUCAUCCAAUGAUGUUCGAAGAUUAGUUAAACAACUUGUCAGGUUCUGAAUUUUUUUUUUGCUUUUAUUUGCUUGUUAGUUUGGACAGUGUUAAAUAUAAUUGUUCAAAGAGCAGCUCAAGAUUAGUUCUUUAGUUGUUUGGUUUCCAGGAAAUGGAAGGAAAUUGUAGAUGAAUGGGUGAGGUUAAAUCCACAAGGAGAGCAUGCAUCCUCUGCUCUAAUGGGUAACAUUAUCAUAAUUUAAUAUUAACGUAUCUCCAUAUUGCUUUUCUGGCAAAAAUUGUUAUAUAAAGUGAAAUGGAGAUUUACUGUGAAGAGAUGAAGUUAGGAUGGAAAAUUAAUGAUGGUGUUUUCUGCAGCUGAUGGGGACUCCCCACAGCAGAAAAUUCCCCAGAACUCUCUUCACCAGGUGAAAAUAAUCUUUUCUUGCCAGCUACUUUGUAUGGGAAAGUUGUGGAAAAUUCCAUCUUUUGAUUGCUUUCUAAUAUUCUAUUCUUUUCUAGGUUCCUGAUUUUGCAUACUCUCCCAAUCCUCAUAAUGGAAGUUCUGGUUCAGACAAGAAUAAUUCAGAAUCAGAACGAAAGCCAAAACUGGUUCCUCGAAAAGAAGCUCCACCCAGACCUACCCAACAAUCUGUUCCUGUAUCUGCAUCUGCUUCUCACAAUGUACAGGUACCCAGCACAUCAGAUGAGAGCCUUUUGUUUCGUUGGUGAGAAAUUGAGAAUGUGAUAGUAAGCUUUGUGGCUUAUCCCAAGAAUAAAACGGCGGUAAAGAUUUUGGAACCAGUUUACUCAGUUACUGAAAAUACUUGAAAUCUGUGGCUUUGCAGAGACAGAGAGAGCAGCAACAAAGAGAGAGAGAUUUUGAUUCUGAGAGGCUUGCUUCCGCGAGGAAGAGGCUUCAAGAGAAUUACAAAGAAGCCUUAAAUGGUUUGAUUUCUAUCCAUUUUGCAUUGUUUCUUUCAACUUAGUUCAAAAUUUGGGCAUGUACUGACAUGCAUUUGUUGUCUUGUGCUUGGUUUGUGAAGCCAAGAAGCAAAGAACAAUUCAAGUGAUGGACAUACAUGAGAUUCCAAAACCCAAGAAUGCCUUCUUUGCAAAGAACAAAGGUGGUGGUUCUCAGGGGAGGCACUGGUGAUUUUGGCAGAGAUUUCAUUAAAAAGGGUCUUUCUUGGGGGACACAGGAAAAUUCUGGGUCCAAUUUAUCUUUUUUAUAUUGUUUUUUUUUUCUUAACUUAAAAAAGCACAUUUUUCUUUAAUUUUCUUUAUGAUCAAAAAGGAAAAACUUGACAAGCUCUUUGGAAAAUAGAGGUUUGAGGUCUACUUGUGAGAGUGUAAUUGCUGUCUAAACUUGUAAGAGCAUAAUUCUGGCAUAAACAGAGGGUUCUCAAUUUUUUUUAUAAUUCUCAAAAUUUAGGCUAUUUUUAAUGAUUUAGAUGAUAGGAUAAGGAUAGGAAACAUUUAGGCAUUAGCCCAUUUUGAUGUCAAUGGUCAAGGAGCUUUGGUUGGGUCCAUAAAGAGUCAGUUUAGGAUGUCGCUGGGAGGAAAGAUGGUGGAAAUUGGUUUGUCCCUUCCAUUAUUACUCUAUAUUUUUAAUUUUUAUUCUCUUUCAUAAAAUAUUGUUGGGUGGACUUGUGUUAGAAUUGAGAGCUUAAUUGCUUUACAGUCUGUCCAUGACUUCUUGGGAGACUCUCUCUUGCCAAGUUGGCACACGCGUGAAGGGUCGGAUAUGCUAUGAUAGUAUUCCUUUUUUUUUUUUUUUUUGAGUCAAACAGUGAUCUGAUUUCUUAAUUAAGAUUUAAGGCAAUGAAGCCAGGAGUUUCUACAUUGAACCCUAAUGCAGCAUCAUACAUACCAUUGUCUAAAAGAGAAGCAGCUAAAAAU